GCGUCAGUGGUACAGUGGUUAGGCUCUUGCCCAUCAUGCAAAUGGUCCGGGGUUCGAUCCCCUGCCGACGUA
rnacentral:tRNA from 1 species